UGUAAAAGAUCCAAGUAAAAACUAACAUUCAUUCUGCUUCUGCCCUGCCUUUGCUCUUUCUAAAAUUACAUUAAUUUGCCUGUGCAUGUGACAGGUGCCCUGGUACUCAUGUGGAUGUCAGUGGACAACAUUCAGAAGCUGGUUGUCUCCUGUGACCAGGUGUGUCCUGGGCGAUCAAACUGAGGUCAUUAGCUUGGCAGCCAAGAGCUUUCAAUCACUGAGCUAUUCCAGCAGCCCCAGCUUUUGCUUCUUGCUGGUGAGGACAUCUGUGCUACUGGUACUGGUGAUGCUGUUCAUACCCGAGCCUGCUUCUUCCACAAAGAGCACCAGCUCUCCAGGAAUCCUACUGGGCCUCAUCAUUACCGAGGAACCUCGGAGGGAUCCAGCUUUAUAGACUGGGAUGAUACUGGGUUCUCCAGUGCUCUGAUGGACAGCACGGGACUGCUUGGCCUUUAUUUUGUGGGCAGCAAAACCUGGUAACAGCUUUUCGGUUUCCAUUCGCUAAUUGUGAGAGGCAGGUCCAUCCUCAAAAAUGUCCAAGCUUGCUGAAAUCUAACCAGCUAUCUAGCAAUAAGAGAAAUCAUAAUCAAA